rnacentral:tRNA from 1 species
AAUAAAGUGCCUGAAAAAUAGGAUUAUUUUGAUAGAAUAAAAAAUGUAAGAAUUCUUACCUUUAUUA